UACAGAGGUCGCAAGCGUUGUUCGGAUUUACUGGGCGUAAAGGGCGCGUAGGCGGCGUGGCGUGUCAAGUGUGAAAUCUCCGGGCCCAACCCGGAAAGUGCGCUUGAAACUACCAUGCUCGAGGCCGGGAGAGGGAAUCGGAAUGCAGGAUGUAGCGGUGAAAUGCGUUGAUAUCCUGCAGAACACCGGAGGCGAAGGCGGAUUCCUGGAACGGUUCCGACGCUGAGGCGCGAAAGUCGGGGGAGCAAAC
rnacentral:rRNA from 1 species